UUAAAUCCAAUUCAAUACUAAACUCACAGAAAGACGAGGGUUACCUUAGCCAGCGAGCUCCGGUCGGCGACUAUUUUGUUGCGAGGGGCGGUGCGGCUGCCGUCGUUGAGCGUCCCUCAAAAGUUACUGAUGCUUGCCGAGGACAUCCGCGCUUCCGAUCUACUCCCUCCUUAUCAAGCUUCGGUCGAGUGGGAACGCCGAUGAUGGCCUGUAUGUUUUUGCUUUCUUAGGAAAUGUGCUUCAUAUGCGCUUUCUUUUUGAAGUGUUUUGGCAGUUUUCUGAGAGAUUUGGCUGGUUACUUUUACUGGCAUCAGAUCACUAAAUGUAAAAUGAUAAAAUCAUACCGUAAAUAUAUAUCACAAAGUUCAAGCUUUGGAUCAUUUGAGUAGAUUUGGAUGACAUUUUCA